rnacentral:rRNA from 1 species
GGAAUAAUCACUGGAAACGGUGACUAAUACCGCAUGUCAUUACGGAAGGGCAUCCUUCUGUAAGAAAAGGAGUAAUUCGGUAUAGGAUGGGCCCGCAUCUGAUUAGCUAGUUGGUGAGAUAACAGCCCACCAAGGCGACGAUCAGUAGCCGACCUGAGAGGGUGAUCGGCCACAUUGGGACUGAGACACGGCCCAAACUCCUACGGGAGGCAGCAGUGGGGAAUAUUGCACAAUGGGGGAAACCCUGAUGCAGCAACGCCGCGUGAAGGAAGAAGGUUUUCGGAUCGUAAACUUCUAUCAACAGGGACGAAGAAAGUGACGGUACCUGAAUAAGAAGCCCCGGCUAACUACGUGCCAGCAGCCGCGGUAAUACGUAGGGGGCAAGCGUUAUCCGGAAUUACUGGGUGUAAAGGGAGCGUAGGCGGCACGCCAAGCCAGAUGUGAAAGCCCGAGGCUUAACCUCCGGAUUGCAUUUGGAACUGGCGAGCUAGAGUACAGGAGAGGAAAGCGGAAUUCCUAGUGUAGCGGUGAAAUGCGUAGAUAUUAGGAAGAACACCAGUGGCGAAGGCGGCUUUCUGGACUGAAACUGACGCUGAGGCUCGAAAGCGUGGGGAGCAAACAGGAUUAGAUACCCUGGUAGUCCACGCCGUAAACGAUGAGUGCUAGGUGUCGGGGAGGAAUCCUCGGUGCCGCAG